UGAAGAGUUUGAUCAUGGCUCAGAUUGAACGCUGGCGGCAGGCCUAACACAUGCAAGUCGAACGGUAACAGGAAGCAGCUUGCUGCUUCGCUGACGAGUGGCGGACGGGUGAGUAAUGUCUGGGAAACUGCCUGAUGGAGGGGGAUAACUACUGGAAACGGUGGCUAAUACCGCAUAACGUCGCAAGACCAAAGAGGGGGACCUUCGGGCCUCUUGCCAUCAGAUGUGCCCAGAUGGGAUUAGCUAGUUGGUGAGGUAACGGCUCACCAAGGCGACGAUCCCUAGCUGGUCUGAGAGGAUGACCAGCCACACUGGAACUGAGACACGGUCCAGACUCCUACGGGAGGCAGCAGUGGGGAAUAUUGCACAAUGGGCGCAAGCCUGAUGCAGCCAUGCCGCGUGUAUGAAGAAGGCCUUCGGGUUGUAAAGUACUUUCAGCGGGGAGGAAGGUGUUGUGGUUAAUAACCACAGCAAUUGACGUUACCCGCAGAAGAAGCACCGGCUAACUCCGUGCCAGCAGCCGCGGUAAUACGGAGGGUGCAAGCGUUAAUCGGAAUUACUGGGCGUAAAGCGCACGCAGGCGGUCUGUCAAGUCGGAUGUGAAAUCCCCGGGCUCAACCUGGGAACUGCAUUCGAAACUGGCAGGCUUGAGUCUUGUAGAGGGGGGUAGAAUUCCAGGUGUAGCGGUGAAAUGCGUAGAGAUCUGGAGGAAUACCGGUGGCGAAGGCGGCCCCCUGGACAAAGACUGACGCUCAGGUGCGAAAGCGUGGGGAGCAAACAGGAUUAGAUACCCUGGUAGUCCACGCCGUAAACGAUGUCUACUUGGAGGUUGUGCCCUUGAGGCGUGGCUUCCGGAGCUAACGCGUUAAGUAGACCGCCUGGGGAGUACGGCCGCAAGGUUAAAACUCAAAUGAAUUGACGGGGGCCCGCACAAGCGGUGGAGCAUGUGGUUUAAUUCGAUGCAACGCGAAGAACCUUACCUGGUCUUGACAUCCACGGAAGUUUUCAGAGAUGAGAAUGUGCCUUCGGGAACCGUGAGACAGGUGCUGCAUGGCUGUCGUCAGCUCGUGUUGUGAAAUGUUGGGUUAAGUCCCGCAACGAGCGCAACCCUUAUCCUUUGUUGCCAGCGAUUAGGUCGGGAACUCAAAGGAGACUGCCAGUGAUAAACUGGAGGAAGGUGGGGAUGACGUCAAGUCAUCAUGGCCCUUACGACCAGGGCUACACACGUGCUACAAUGGCGCAUACAAAGAGAAGCGACCUCGCGAGAGCAAGCGGACCUCAUAAAGUGCGUCGUAGUCCGGAUUGGAGUCUGCAACUCGACUCCAUGAAGUCGGAAUCGCUAGUAAUCGUGGAUCAGAAUGCCACGGUGAAUACGUUCCCGGGCCUUGUACACACCGCCCGUCACACCAUGGGAGUGGGUUGCAAAAGAAGUAGGUAGCUUAACCUUCGGGAGGGCGCUUACCACUUUGUGAUUCAUGACUGGGGUGAAGUCGUAACAAGGUAACCGUAGGGGAACCUGCGGUUGGA
rnacentral:rRNA from 1 species